UACGUAGGGGCCAAGCGUUGUCCGGAAUUAUUGGGCGUAAAGAGCUCGUAGGCGGUCUGUUGCGUCCGCUGUGAAAACUCGGGGCUUAACCCCGAGCCUGCAGUGGAUACGGGCAGACUAGAGGUAGGUAGGGGAGAAUGGAAUUCCCGGUGUAGCGGUGAAAUGCGCAGAUAUCGGGAGGAACACCGGUGGCGAAGGCGGCUUGCUGGGCCAGUUCUGACGCUGAGGAGCGAAAGCGUGGGGAGCGAACAGG
rnacentral:rRNA from 1 species